rnacentral:rRNA from 1 species
UCAGGCCUAACACAUGCAAGUCGUACGAGAGUUUUUAACUCUAGUGGCGGACGGGUGAGUAACACGUGAGAAUUUGCCUUUAGGAGGGGGACAACAAUUGGAAACGAAUGCUAAUACCCCAUAUGCUUUCGAGUGAAAUGGAUUUUAUCCGCCUAGAGAGAAGCUCGCGGCUGAUUAGCUUGUUGGUAAGGUAAGAGCUUACCAAGGCGACGAUCAGUAUCUGGUUUGAGAGGACGAUCAGACACACUGGAACUGAGACACGGUCCAGACUCCUACGGGAGGCAGCAGUGGGGAAUUUUCCGCAAAGGGCGAAAGCCUGACGGAGCAAUACCGCGUGAGGGAAAAAGGCCUAUGGGUUGUAAACCUCUUUUUUCAGGGAGGAAUAAAUGA